AAAAGAAAAUAAACAAAAGAUUGACACUUCACUUUGACAGUACGCCGUCAAUAAACAUUUCAUUAAUUUUCCGGUAUACCUAAGUAUUUUUUUAAGCAAUCCAGUUGAAAGUGGCGAAGGUUUUGCAAUUUCAAAAGUGGUUUAGUGUACUUAGUUAUAAACAAAAUGAUAAAUGUGUGCAAGAAACUUAACCAAUAAUUACAAGAUUUGCAUCUCCUGAUUUAGAAGUAAUCCACAAAGAUCAUGCAAAACGUUUUGACACCUAAAUACAUGUAAAGCUAAAUAACCAGGAAUCUGAAACUUAUCCGCACUUGGACGCACAACAACAGCAUGGAAGUAGGAAAACUCGACGAGAAAGGCACAGGAUGCUCGGAUCUUCCUAUUGCUACCGACAUAAGUGUAAACAAUCGACCAUUAAAUAUAAAAACUUUCUUCAUCUAUCCAACUCUGGCAAAGGGGAAAAAUAUUAGCCGUGAAGUCAAAUACAUUCAAAAGAAAUUCGCUACUUUAAAAAUUGAUUUGAAAUGCCAUAAAAUAGGCUUUUCCAAAUCGAAAAAGAGGCGUCUACGCAGAAAACGUCAAGCUCGUGCCAGGCUUAAUACGAGUAUCUUCGAUUUGGAAAAAGUUGCAGAAGACCCUGUAAGAAUACGAAAUGCAGAAAAGAAAACUGAUAGUAUUAAAAAUGAGAAGAUUAAUACGUUAAGUCCAAUAACCAAUUAAGAAAAUAACAAUGUAAGCAUAUUAUCGCCUAAUAAUUCAAAGCAGAGUUCAGACACAGUUGCAGAAAAUCCUCUAACACAAAUGCAGAAGGAAACGUUGAUUGUGUUAAAAAUAAGCUCGAUGUAAAAGGUAAUAAGUCAGCUCGCGAAAUUCUUGGAGAAACCAAUUAAUUUAAAUAAAAAUAUAAGUAUUUUAUCUUCUAAUGAAUUCAAGCAGGAAAAAACUAAGAUAUUAUCUUCACGAAAACGAAAGCAAAGUAAGCCCUCAUCAAAAAGUGCGAACCAAUUUUCUUUUAAGAAUUCUAAAUCCGCAAAAGAACAUUAAAUGUUUGCACAAAGCAAAACAGAAGCUGUGGAUUUGUCCAAAAUUAAUGAAUCAAAUGCAAAUAAUAACUUGAAUAAUGAAUUAUCUACACAAAAGUGAGAUGAAAUCGAAAUUUUGAUGAAACAUGGGAACAUAUUUGCUUCUAGUAACUCAAAAUCUACAAAGCAUAAUGAACUAUCUAUAAAAAAUAUGAAUGAACCGAAAACACUCCUCGAAAAUCUAAACCUGCAAAAUAUAAAAACGUAUCCACAGAAAACGUUUUAGAGGCCAAGUCUUCCUCGAAACCUACCAAGGUUGCUAAAUUAUCUGCAGACCACAAUAUGGAUACUAAAGCAGCGUCUCAAAGCAAAAGCAAAUUAGCUUCUAAGCACUCCAAAACUGGAAAAGAUAAUGUAUUAUCUGCACAAAACCCGAAGAGAACUAAGCGCUAUACGAAACGUACAAACAAAUUACUUACUAAACAGACAGUAGUUCCAGUUUCUUUAUUUGUUGAUAAACUUAAAAGACAUAAACAUAUAUAUUAUUCAUUCGAAAUAACAUACAAUUUGAGCUUACUACCAAAAAAGGAUAUUGUUUUUCUAUUGAAUAUUCAAAAUUCAUUGCCAACAAAAGAUUGGAUCUUUGUAAAAAAGAAUAGAAAAAUUUAAAGGCAAAAUUGUGAUUUCGGUUGCCUUGGAUCCAACUACCGUAAGAUCUCUUGAAAAAACUAAGUUUGAAGCUUCACUGCUCAGAUCGAAAGUUAUAUUCGUAGAAAAGAAAUUUAAGAUAACAUAUGUAAACACGAUUAAUAAAGGGAGGAAGUUCAAGACAGUACUGAAUAAAAACAAUAAACAAGGUAGAUGUUUUUUAGUAA